UACGUAGGGUGCAAGCGUUGUCCGGAAUUAUUGGGCGUAAAGAGCUCGUAGGCGGCUUGUCACGUCGGAUGUGAAAGCCCGGGGCUUAACUCCGGGUCUGCAUUCGAUACGGGCUGGCUAGAGUGUGGUAGGGGAGAUCGGAAUUCCUGGUGUAGCGGUGAAAUGCGCAGAUAUCAGGAGGAACACCGGUGGCGAAGGCGGAUCUCCGGGCCAUUACUGACGCUGAGGAGCGAAAGCGUGGGGAGCGAACAGG
rnacentral:rRNA from 1 species